CAAAGAGCUACACUUGUGGCUGUACAUAAGGAUCAUGGUGGAGAAAAGUGAAAGUCCCAUCUUUUCUUUCUUUCAAGUUUUCUGGGUCAUGAGUCACGCUGAGGACUACAGAGUUCUACAGCAGAACAUAACAAGAAUAUGAAUGCAGAUUUUCAGAUCUGAAGAGAAAGUCUGGAGGUGGAGAAAGGAGAAAAACUUUGACUUCAUCACACUGCUGUCAGCAAGAAGGAGGGGAAGAAGCUGCUACACUCUUUACAUUUCUGAACUGGGAAAGCGUAUCACUGUGAUCAGAGACACUGUGAUUAUCUCUAUGUAAAGAAAAAAAAUCAACUACAAUAAUCAAAAACAACCACAGCAAUCUCCAUUUCCUUGCAAGGGGAAAGAAGAAGGAGGAAACAGAAGGAGAUCAUAGAAUCACAGAAUUGUAGGGGCUGGAAGGGACUUCUAGAGACCACUGAGUCCAGCCACUCUGAAAAGCAGGCCCCCUACCACAGGCUUCACAGUUGGGCAUCCAGGUGGAUCUUGAAUAACUCCAGAGGAGAAUCUACAACCCCCCCAGGCAGCCUGUUCCAGUGCUCCAUCACCCUUACUGUGAAGAAGUUCAUUUACAUAUUGGUGUGGAUCUUCCUAUGCUUCAGUUUAUGGUUGUUUCCCCUUGUCCUGUCCUCACAGACUGCUGAAAAGAAGUUGGCCAUGUCCCUUUGACUCCCAUCCUUAAGACAGUUAUAAACAUUGAUAAGACCACCUCUGAGUCUUUUCUCAAGGCUGACAGACCCAGGUCACUCAGCCUCUCCUCACAGGAAUAGCGUGGAUGAGGUUUUGUGAGAUGCUUCUGUGACUUUUGCUGAUCAGAAACAAUGAAGAAUUUCAGAAGAAUGAUUUACCUCAUCCAAAAUGAGAAUUCUGAUACUGUUUGAGGGG
rnacentral:lncRNA from 1 species